CUCACUGCCCCUGCUCCAUGCCUGUGUGGUGUCUCCUUGGGGGCUCUGUCAUGGACUCCUGCCCCUCCUCUGGGUGGCCAGCAGAUGACAUCCACUUUGUCACCUCUGCUGUCUUCCCCCACUCCUCACUCUGGCCUGUGGCAUCUGGCCCUGUGGCAGCUGUGGCAAUCAGUUAACGGUCCCCACUUUGUGGCCUCCUUUUCCCCUGUGUAUUGGUGUAGGCCCUCUGUGGCAUCUGGCUCACCACAGAUCUUGCCUGGGCCAACAGGCCUGAAGCUGAGGGCUGUCUGAGGGUAAACCAAGGCAUGACUGAAACCAUCAGAACAGGCAAAAAUGAAGCAACAAGACCUAUCGGAAGUCACUCAAGACAGCCCUGUGCCAACAGUUCUUGUCCAGACUGACACAUCUUCCUACCAGACCGACACAUCUUCCUACCAGACCCAUCAACAUAAGGCUGUCAAUUGGCCCAAUUAAGUGAAAUGCUGAGUGAAUCUAGAGAAGGUUUAAAUCCCCUCUCCAAAACAAGACAAAGCAAACCCCAUCCAUGGCACUGUCUUCCUGGGUUUUCCACCCCUCAAGAAAAGCGGAAAUAGGGGCCAGGGAUUUAGCUCAGUGGUGCCAUACCUGCCUCACAAGCACAAGGUCCUGAGUUUGAGCCCUGGUACCAGAAGGAAAAAAAAAAAAGAGCUGGGCCGGGAUUUAGCUCAGUGGUUGUGCCACCUGCCUUGCAAGCAUAAGGACCCAAGUUGGGGGGUGGGGGGAGCGUAAAUGUACCCAGGUCCAAACCAUCCUGUGUCUCAUUCCUCAGAGCACAUGGAGUGUGACCUGUACUGUCUGUGCCUAAUAAACCUACAUGUGCCUCUUUGGAAUGUGUCCUGAAAACUCUUUCUUUGAUGGGAGUCAGUGAGCCUGGUGCAGUGGGGUGGGUUAAGUUUGGGAACCUGUGACCCAGCCCCGUGACAGUGCUAAUGUUUUCAUGGAAUUUAUUACAUGGCAUUGUUGGAGCAAUAAAUAACUGAUACAGAGUUCAAUAAAUAUUUGCUAAGUGAAUAUUGAUGGAAUUUUAGACACAAGAGCAAGAUAGGAAAUAUGGAG
rnacentral:lncRNA from 1 species